AAUAGAUACCCGGGUAGUCCACGCCCUAAACGAUGAUCACUGGACGUCAGCUUCAAUCGCGAAGUUGGUGUCGUAGCUAACGCGUUAAGUGAUCCACCUGGGGAUUACGGUCGCAAGACUAAAACUCAAAGGAAUUGACGGGGGUCCGCACAAGCGGUGGAACAUGUGGUUUAAUUCGACACUACGCGAGGAACCUUACCUAGGCUUGACAUGUAUUUGCCCACUGUAGAAAUACAGUUUUCUGGGUCUUUGAUCCAGACGAAUACACAGGUGCUGCAUGGCUGUCGUCAGCUCGUGUCGUGAGAUGUUCGGUUAAGUCCUCUAACGAGCGCAACUCUCGCUGUCAGUUGCUAUCCUUCGGGAGCACUCUGAUGGGACUGCCUGGGAAACCAGGAGGAAGGUGGGAAUGACGUCAAGUCCUCAUGGCCCUUAUGUCUAGGGCUACACACGUGUUACAAUGGCCGGUACAAAGAGCAGCGAAUCUGUAAGGAUGAGCUAAUCUCAAAAAACCGGUCUAAGUUCGGA
rnacentral:rRNA from 1 species